AGAGACACAUCUUUUAAUGCAUCUCCACUGUAAUGUUGACUCUUGCCCUUGAGUGAGUCAUUCCAUUUCUAUUGACUUUCCGGCACUUACUCGAAGACCUCCUUUCACAACAAGCCUUUUAAGACUCAUGCAAUGUUGAUCCUCCCUCCAACAAUAUAUGGACAGUGACAUAAUUCUGAGCAAGGGAGGUUGUAAAGAUGCAACAAGAUUGUCUUCAUAGGGACCAUGUCACGUCUGUUCAUAUAGUGUCAGAGAGCGAGCAGAUGCUGCAUAACAUCUCUUCAAUUCAAGGGGCAUAGACUCAUUUUGACAUUAAUUGUCAAAGGCUCGCUUCGACCCCUCUGACAGCAUAUUCAUGUGCCUCCCUCACAAAUUGGGAAUCACUGUUUGACUGCCUUCAGACUUCAGCAUGAGGAAGAGUUAAGACUUUCACCAGUGGCCUAAGGAAUGAACAAAUACACACAUCAGAUCUCUGAAUAAACAGCCUCAAAAAAGA